rnacentral:lncRNA from 1 species
GGGAGUCUGGCUCUCGAGAUUCGGAGGGCGGUGCCUCUUCGAUUUUUUAGUAAGCAAUCUUGUUGGGAGUGUUUUCUCGGAUGUGAGUAAAGGUUGGGCAUGUUUGCUAGUCUACCUUGCCACGAGGCACAGAGGUUGACACACAGGGACUUUCCAAUUAUCCAGCAGUGGUACUGUUCAUUUACCCUUGUGGGUAAUAAUAUGGUAGCUAGACCUUCAAAAUUUAUGUGUCUAAACUUUGUUAGUGCUGUUUCUUUGCUAUUCUUCUUUUACCUUUCUUGGUCAGAGCGAUGUAGUGGGAGCUGCAAGCUUCACGUGCUCAACUUUUGGCAGAGACUUUGGCAAAGUUAUCUGUGGUACCCAUGAGCUAUUGUUGCGUGUGGGAAGUGGGUGAUUGAACAGUAAGAUUCAUGUGCUUUCGACUUCACCAGAAGUCUUCGACAGAAUGACCAUAAUUUCCGCAAAGCUGAGUGUGCGUGUGACAGGUGCUGACAAGGCUAGAAAAGUAGGUGCCUCUUCGAUUUCUGAGAUCGACCCUCGUGAUCUCUGAGCAGCCCAGCUUUUGAGAAAGCGAGCGCCUCUUCGAUUGAUUCGGAGAACGAUGCCUCUUCGAUUUUUGAGAAAGCAAUCAUGCUGGGGGUCUGGCUCUCGAGAUUCGGGGAGCAGUGUCUCUUCGAUUUUUGAGAAAGUAAUCAUGUUGGGAGUCUGGCUCUCGAGAUUCGGAGGACGGUGCCUCUUCGAUUUUGGAGCAAGCAAUCUUAUUGGGAGUGUUUUCUCGAAUGUGAGUAAAGGUUGGGCAUGUUUGCUAGUCUACCUUGCCACGAGGCACAGAGGUUGACACACAGGGACUUUCCAAUUAUCCAGCAGUGGUACUGUUCCUUUACCCUUGUGGGUAAUAAUAUGG